rnacentral:rRNA from 1 species
GACGUAGGUGGCGCACGUUAUCCGGAAUUAUUGGGCGGAAAGGAUGCGUAGAUGGUGUAGUAAGUUAUCGGUGGCAAAUCGAGGCUCAACCUCGUGGAAGUCGGUAAUACUGCUAUGCUAGAGGAUAGGAGAGGUUAACGGAACUCCCUGUGGAGCGGUGAAAUGCGUAGAUAUAGGGAAGAACACCAAUAAGGCGAAGGCAGUUAACUAUUCUACUCCUGACAUUGAGGCAUGAAAGCGUGGGGAGCAAAACGG